UGCGGGGUCGUCUAACGGCAGGACGCCUGGCUCUGGACCAGGUAGUCUAGGUUCGAAUCCUAGCCCCGCAG
rnacentral:tRNA from 1 species